AUGGAUGGAUGGAUGGAUGGAUGGAUGGAUGGAUGGAUGGAUGGAUGGAUGGAUGGAUGGAUGGAUGGAUGGAUGGAUGGAUGGAUGGAUGGAUGGAUGGAUGCUGCUGCACAUGGUUACCAUGCACCUGGUCAUGUUCUAAGGAAGGAAGGAAGGAGGAAGGUACUGUGACAUCUGUAGAAUGAAGCCUUGGGCUCAGGACACUGCAGAGCAGCUGUGCUUGCAGUGCUGUGGCUUGUCCUUGGCCCAGGGACCUCGGCACCAUGCACAGCUGAAAGCAGCAGACCUCUGUCCUGGAAAUGGGAUGCCAGCACUGCAGGGAGGAACAGAGCAGCACUUGAUUACCUCUCCUCACUGAAGACAAGACUGGAAGUGCCUGGGAAGAUGAGCUGUACACAGCAUGCAUUAACAAGAAGAUUAAGAAAACAGCAUCAGUUUGGGGUCAUAAUUUGCACUGCAUCCUGCACAGCACAUAGGAAAGCAAAGGAGAGGACUCUGUCUUGGCUGGGACAUGGACACUCAAGUUUCCAGAGAUUUUGAUGUCCCUUCUGAAAACCUGACUGUGUGGGACACAUUAUAUGGCAUGCAAAC
rnacentral:lncRNA from 12 species